AAAAAAAAAAAGACGUGGCGGCUGUAGGCUUCUUUGCAGUGAAAAUUACUGACCUCCAGCUUUGCUCCACUUCUGCAAUGCACUAUUGCAGCUGC